GGACUACCGGGGUAUCUAAUCCUGUUUGCUCCCCACGCUUUCGCACCUCAGCGUCAGUAUCGGACCAGUGAGCCGCCUUCGCCACUGGUGUUCUUCCCAAUCUCUACGAAUUUCACCUCUACACUGGGAAUUCCACUCACCUCUUCCGAACUCAAGCCAAGCAGUCUUGAAGGCAAUUCCGAGGUUGAGCCCCGGGAUUUCACCCCCAACUUACCAAGCCGCCUACGUGCGCUUUACGCCCAGUAAUUCCGAACAACGCUAGCCCCCUUCGUAUUACCGCGGCUGCUGGCAC
rnacentral:rRNA from 1 species